ACGGGAGGCAGCAGUGGAGAAUCUUGCACAAUGGGGGAAACCCUGAUGCAGCAACGCCGCGUGAAGGAUGAAGGCCCUUGGGUCGUAAACUUCUUUUCUGAGGGAAGAUAAUGACGGUACCUCAGGAAUAAGUCCCGGCUAACUACGUGCCAGCAGCCGCGGUAAUACGUAGGGGGCGAGCGUUAUCCGGAAUUAUUGGGCGUAAAGAGUACGUAGGUGGUUUCCUAAGCAUGGGGUUUAAGGCACUAGCUUAACUAAUGUUCGCCCCAUGAACUGGGUUACUUGAGUGCUGGAGGGGAAAGCGGAAUUCCUAGUGUAGCGGUGAAAUGCGUAGAUAUUAGGAGGAACACCAGUGGCGAAGGCGGCUUUCUGGACUGUAACUGACGUUGAGGCUCGAAAGCGUGGGGAGCAAACAGGAUUAGAUACCCUGGUA
rnacentral:rRNA from 1 species